CAGCGCGGCGCAGUGGAAAAGGCCUGCUCUGGGCCUCUCUAGCCCUCUGGAGGACUUGCCGUCUGUUUCUGGACGCUUCCGGCGGCAGUAGGCGGGCCUGGCGUGAAGAGCCGCGCCGAGGGGGCUGCUCAGUCAGGGCGGAUUUAGCUCCGGUGUUUUGGCAAUGGGGCUGCAGGAGUUGUGCAGACUCAUGUCGAGGUUUAAUUCAUAUAAAAGGACUAAUAUCAUACUGCAGCAUUUGAAGUGGGAACAAGAUCCGGAAACUUUCCUGAUCAUCAUAAAGGGAGCUGGUGAAAAGGCUUUCUGUGCUGGAGGUGAUAUCAGAGCACUCUCAGAAGCUAGAAAUACAAACCAGAAAAUGCUUCAAGAUUUAUUCCGAGAGGAAUAUAUUCUGAACAACGCCAUUGAUUCUUGCCAGAAACCAUAUAUUGCACUUAUUCAUGGAAUUACAAUGGGUGGGGGAGUCGGUGUCUCAGUUCAUGGGCAAUUCCGAGUGGCUACCGAAAAGUCUGUUUUUGCGAUGCCAGAAACAGCAAUAGGGCUAUUCCCUGAUGUGGGUGGAGGUUAUUUCUUGCCAAGACUUCAAGGAAAACUUGGGUACUUCCUUGCAUUAACAGGAUUCAGACUGAAAGGAAGAGAUGUGUACACAGCAGGAAUUGCUACACACUUUGUAGAUUUUGAAAAGUUGGGCAUGUUAGAAGAAGAUUUGUUAGCCCUGAAAUCUCCUUCAAAAGAAAAUGUUGCAGAUGUCUUAGAAGCUUACCAUGCAAAGUCAAAGAUUGAUCAAGACAAGCCUUUUAUACUUGAGGAACACAUGGACAAAAUAAACAGUUGGUUCUCAGCUAAUACUGUGGAACAGAUUGUUGACAAUUUACAGCAAGACGGUUCAUCUUUUGCCCUGGAUCAGCUGAAGGUAAUUAAUAAAAUGUCUCCAACUUCACUAAAGAUCACGCUAAGGCAACUCCUGGAGGGGUCUUCAAAGACCUUGCCAGAAAAAGGCCAUGACUUUCAUGAAGGCGUUAGGGCAGUUUUAAUAGAUAAAGACCAGAGUCCAAGGUGGAAACCAGCUGACCUAAAAGAAGUUACUGAUGAAGAUUUGAAUGAUUACUUCAAAUCUCUGGGAAGUAAUGAUUUGAAAUUUUGAAAUGAUUGGAUUUUUAAAAUAUUAUUUUGGAGCAGAGGUUGCCAAACUAUGGCACAUGGGCCAAAGCCAACCUGCUGCCUGUUUUUUUAUAUAUUGCUCAGCUAAGAAUGGUUUUUGCAUUUUUAAAUUUGGGAGAAAAGAAAUCAAAGACCAAUAUUGCCAUGGCAUAUAAAAAUUACAUGAAAUUCAAAUGAUUGUCUAUAAAUGAAACUUUAUUGGAACAUGGUUUUACUCAUCUGUUUACAUAUCUAUGGCUGCUUUGAGUAGUUGCAGUAGAGAUUGUAAGGCCUGCAAAGCCUAAAAUAUUUACUUAUCUCAUCCUUUUCACUGGAGGUUGGGGCUGGUGCACUGGGACGAACCAGAGGGAUGGUACGG
rnacentral:lncRNA from 1 species